rnacentral:tRNA from 1 species
GCUCAGUUGGUAAAGCACAAGGCUCUUAACCUUGCAGACAUGGAUUCAAGUCCCAU